CCUACGGGUGGCAGCAGUCGAGAAUCAUUCACAAUGGGGGAAACCCUGAUGGGGCGACGCCGCGUGGGGGAAUGAAGGUCUGCGGAUUGUAAACCCCUGUCAUGUGGGAGCAAAUUAAAAAGAGAGUACCACAAGAGGAAGAGACGGCGAACGCGGGGCCAGCAGCCGCGGUAAUACAGAGGUGUCAAGCGUUGUUCGGAAUCACUGGGCGGAAAGCGUGCGGAGGCUGUUUCGUAAGUCGUGUGUGAAAGGCGCGGGCUCAACCCGCGGACUGCACCUGAUACUGCGAGACUAGAGUAUUGGAGCGGGAACCCGAAUUCUCGGUGUCGCCGUGAAAUGCGUAGAUAUCGCGCGGAACACUCAUGGCGAAGGCGGGUUCCUGGACAUUAACUGACGCUGAGGCACGAAGGCCAGGGUAGCGAAAGGGAUUAGAUACCCCAGUAGUC
rnacentral:rRNA from 1 species